rnacentral:rRNA from 1 species
CGAAAGCCUGACGGAGCAACGCCGCGUGCGGGAGGACGGCCUGUGGGUUGUAAACCGCUUUUCUCGGGGAAGAAGGUCUGACGGUACCUGAGGAAUCAGCAUCGGCUAACUCCGUGCCAGCAGCCGCGGUAAUACGGAGGAUGCAAGCGUUAUCCGGAAUUAUUGGGCGUAAAGCGUCCGCAGGCGGUGUGUCAAGUCUGCCGUUAAAGGCCGGGGCUCAACUCCGGUUGAGCGGUGGAAACUGACAGACUAGAGUGCGGUAGGGGUAGAGGGAAUUCCCAGUGUAGCGGUGAAAUGCGUAGAUAUUGGGAAGAACACCAGUGGCGAAGGCGCUCUACUGGGCCGCAACUGACGCUGAGGGACGAAAGCUAGGGGAGCG